GGCCCUUUUCUCUGGGACUCUGGUAGACACAUAGGCCACACCUCCUUUCCUGGAACUGGUAGACACAUAGGCUACACCUCCUUCAUUGGAAGUGACAAACAGGAAAACCAUGCUACCUUCACUGAGACUGUUACAGCAUCCAUGACUCCUUCACUGGGACUGACAGCCACAUAGGCCACGCCUCCUUCACUCGUCACAGAUGCCCAAAUCUGCGCUCGCUGUCUGUGGUGCUGAACCAGGAACUAUCCAGACUGCUUUGGCUUGUUUUUUGUUCAGCUCGUACAACAAAAGGCUCCUGAAGGGUUCUGCGCAUGGCUAAUGGUUCUAGAUUCCUUAAUGGGUUCUAUUUGGAUUAUUUUGCACAUGAGAAAUCCUGUGCUGUAGGGUUCUCCAUGGAACAAAUCAUGAUUCUAGACUAAAAAUCUUGAGUGUGAGUUGAGUGCUAUAGACGCAUCUCUCUCUCUCUCUCUCUCUCUCUCUCUCUCUCUCUCUCUCUCUCUCUCACACACACACACACACACACACACGCAUACUCUCUCACUUCGCGCACACGGAGAGCCGCGGGCGCUCGUAGCUCCUUUCUUCGUUUCUCUUUUCAGCACUCAGUGUGGGGUAAAAGCGAGGACCGGACAGAUGUUCCCACGGCUGAGGGCGCGCAAUCUGUUUUUUAGGAACGCUACCUGAUGCUUGCGGCUGCGUGAACUCGGGAGUCCCCUUAGCGCGGCGCAAGGAAAGGAAAAAAAAGAUUCCGUUCGCGCGCGCAAACCACCUUCCGUGUGCGUGCGCGCUCAGGGCACAGUAGGCAAAUGCAACAGCUAUAGGUACGCAUCAUGAGAGAUGCUCGGCUCCUUGAACGUGAUGAGUUGAUGUUGGAUCACUUCUCCGUGCAAAAUUGCGCAGAACAUCGGGGAAACAAUAUUUAAUAAUAGUAAUAAUAAUAAAAUCUAUAUUUCUGCAAGUGGAAAAGUGAGGAUGACGCCACUUGAUGAUGUUCUGAUGGUCAAAUGCGUGCCACAGCCUCCGAGGUUUAUAUAAACAUUUUCAAAGAACUGCAGUGAAGAAUAAACGAGGAAGCAUGCGGAUCUCUGAAUCUUCUAGGAUUUUUGUCUCAUGAACUUCUGCAUUAUGUAUAAACUUAUACCCAUCAUUUUGGGCCCCCUGGACUGUUGCUAUAUUUAUCCCUAGUAAUAGAGAAAUAAAGGGGGAUCAGGAAAAAAAAUAAAAAAUAAAAAUAACAAGGAAAAAACGCAAAGAUUUCCCUAUUCUCCAUUUUUCAUGCCAGGAUAGAAGGCUUUGGGGAAUGCGCAUUGCGAUGAUGUCAGAUGAUACAUCUUGGUCCAAAUCUACAACUAUGAGGAAAUCUUAUACAGAGUCACAAGCAUCCUAAGAGCUACAGCGGGGCUAAGAUAAAGCAGGUAGGCAACAUCAUUGUGAAUAAGCAUGAUGAAUAACAUUCAUGACAUUUAUCACAUGCGAUAGCUAGUUAAUGAGCAAAGCAGUCAAUGAGGAUGUGAUUUAAUCUGUGUGUAUGCGUGUGUGUCAGAGAUUUCCCCUCACGCAGAGCGCUGAAGCACGCAGCGCGCUCUGAAGACCGAAACGCAACAGCGUGUAUUUCCGGGUUCACUGACAUUGACUAUGUUUACUUUCCACACAUGUGUUUGUUAUGGUUUAUGUCAUAUCUCUGCCCCUGUUAUGUCACUGGUUGUCUAUUAAUGUGUCCCAGGUGUUUUUUUGUUUCCCCCUUGAUUACAUUUGUUAUUUCAACCCCUUGUGUGUCUAUUUUCGGCACAAAGUAUUGUGAGUGUUUUUCUCCGUACCAAGCCUUUGUCCUGUGUUCACGUUUCUAGUGUUUUGAUCCUGUGUCUAGUUUCUCGUUUUGUCCUUUUGCCUUGCCUGAGUUACAACCAUUUGCAGAUCGCCUGAACUUGGCCUGUUUUCGACCACGUUACUGAUUCACGUUUGUAUUUGUCUGCUUGAUUUCCUUAAUAAAGCUCUUUACUGCACAUGCAUCC
ensembl:lncRNA